GAUUAUUUAGUUUAUAUAAAACAGAUGCUUUGAAAGCAUUAAAAAAGAUAAAUUUCUUAAUAAUCU
rnacentral:tRNA from 1 species